rnacentral:tRNA from 1 species
AAUAAUGUGCCUGAAAAAGGAGUAUUCUGAUGGAAUAAAUUAUAUAGUUUGUGCUAUCAUUAUUA